rnacentral:rRNA from 1 species
GAUGAACGCUGGCGGCGUGCCUAAUACAUGCAAGUCGAGCGAACGGCCUAGCCGCUUUCUUCUCUUAUGUUAUUGGCGGAUGGGUGAGUAACACGUGGAUAACCUAUCUAUAAGCCUCGCUUAACUUCGGGAUACCGUAUCUAAUCCCCUACAAUUUUUUGAACCGCAUGGUUCAAAAGUUCUCCACGUUCUUGCUGUUACUUAUAUAUGGAUUCUCGCUGCAUUUGCUAGUUGGUAAGGUAACGGCUUACCAUGGCAACGAUGCAUAGCCGACCUGAGAGAGUGAUCGGCCACACGGGAAAUGAGACACGGGCCAAAAGCCGACGGGAGGCAGCAGUAGGAAAUCUACCGCAAUGGGCGAAGGCGUGACGGAGCAACGCCGCGAGAGUGAUGAGGGGCUUCGGAUCGUAAAACACUGUUAUUAGGGAAAAACAAAUGUGUAAGUAAAUGUGCACAUCUUGACGGUACCUAAUAAGAAAGCCACGGCUAACUACGU